GGAUUAGAUACCCUGGUAGUCCACGCUGUAAACGAUGUCUACUUGGAGGUUGUGACCUAGAGUCGUGGCUUUCGGAGCUAACGCGUUAAGUAGACCGCCUGGGGAGUACGGUCGCAAGAUUAAAACUCAAAUGAAUUGACGGGGGCCCGCACAAGCGGUGGAGCAUGUGGUUUAAUUCGAUGCAACGCGAAGAACCUUACCUACUCUUGACAUCCAGAGAAGCUUGAAGAGAUUCGAGUGUGCCUUCGGGAACUCUGAGACAGGUGCUGCAUGGCUGUCGUCAGCUCGUGCCG
rnacentral:rRNA from 1 species